rnacentral:misc_RNA from 1 species
GAUGAAGAACGUAGCGAAAUGCGGUACGUAAUGUGAAUUGCAGAAUUCAGUGAAUCAUCGAAUCUUUGAACGCAUAUUGCGCUCUCUGGUAUUCCGGAGAGCAUGCUUGUUUGAGUAUCAGUAAACACCUCAACUCCCUUUUCUUUUUUGAAAUUGGAGCUGGACUUGAGUGAUCCCAACACUUUCUUCCAAGAAAGUGGCGGGUUGCUUGAAAUGCAGGUGCAGCUGAACUUUUCUCUGAGCUAUAAGCAUAUCUAUUUAGUCUGCCUAAAAAACAGAUUAUUACCUUUGCUGCAGCUAACAUAAAGGAGACUAGUUCUUGUGCUGACUGAUGCAGGAUUCACAGAGACAGCUUCGGCUGACUUUGUAAACUCGAUCUCAAAUCAAGUAAGACUACCCGCUGAACUUAAGCAUAUCAAUAAGCGGAGGA